rnacentral:rRNA from 1 species
AACGAACGCUGGCCGCAGGCUUAACACAUGCAAGUCGAGCGCCCCGCAAGGGGAGCGGCAGACGGGUGAGUAACGCGUGGGAACGUACCUUUUGGUUCGGAACAACUCCGGGAAACUGGAGCUAAUACCGGAUAAGCCCUAACGGGGAAAGAUUUAUCGCCGAAAGAUCGGCCCGCGUCUGAUUAGCUAGUUGGUGAGGUAACGGCUCACCAAGGCGACGAUCAGUAGCUGGUCUGAGAGGAUGAUCAGCCACACUGGGACUGAGACACGGCCCAGACUCCUACGGGAGGCAGCAGUGGGGAAUAUUGGACAAUGGGCGCAAGCCUGAUCCAGCCAUGCCGCGUGAGUGAUGAAGGCCUUAGGGUUGUAAAGCUCUUUUGUCCGGGAAGAUAAUGACUGUACCGGAAGAAUAAGCCCCGGCUAACUUCGUG